UGGGGAAUAUUGGACAAUGGGCGAAAGCCUGAUCCAGCCAUGCCGCGUGAGUGAUGAAGGCCUUAGGGUUGUAAAGCUCUUUCAGCGGGGAAGAUAAUGACGGUACCCGCAGAAGAAGCCCCGGCUAACUUCGUGCCAGCAGCCGCGGUAAUACGAAGGGGGCUAGCGUUGUUCGGAAUCACUGGGCGUAAAGCGUAUGUAGGCGGAUUGUUAAGUCAGGGGUGAAAGCCCGAGGCUCAACCUCGGAAUUGCCUUUGAUACUGGCUGUCUUGAGUCCGGGAGAGGUGAGUGGAACUCCUAGUGUAGAGGUGAAAUUCGUAGAUAUUAGGAAGAACACCAGUGGCGAAGGCGGCUCACUGGCCCGGAACUGACGCUGAUGUACGAAAGCGUGGGGAGCAAACAGG
rnacentral:rRNA from 1 species